GUAGAAGGUGCCCUUUAUAUUGCAGGUAGAAUUGAAGAGCCGUCCAAAUUUGGCCUCAGGAAACACCAUGAGGUAGAAUUGAAGAGCCGUCCAAAUUUGGCCUCAGGAAACACCAUGAGGUAGAAUUGAAGAGCCGUCCAAAUUUGGCCUCAGGAAACACCAUGAGGUUAGUCCUAACUGUUCUAGCAUUG